GUGUUGUAUGAAAGUAGAAUUCCUUGAUAAGGAUGGAAGGGGCCCAAGUGGCCUUACAGCACACAAAUGGUUGUGGCAUCUAACUAUGUAAAAAACUGCACAAAACUAGGGUUCCAAGCACGGAAUUUU